rnacentral:tRNA from 1 species
AAAGAAUUAGUUAAAGUAUAACUUAAGCUUGUCGAGCUUGUAUUACCUGUGUGGUAUUCUUUU